rnacentral:rRNA from 1 species
AGAGUUUGAUCAUGGCUCAGGACGAACGCUGGCGGCGUGCUUAACACAUGCAAGUCGAACGGAAAGGCCCUUCGGGGUACUCGAGUGGCGAACGGGUGAGUAACACGUGGGUGAUCUGCCCUGCACUCUGGGAUAAGCCUGGGAAACUGGGUCUAAUACCGGAUAGGACCGCAUGCUUCAUGGUGAGUGGUGCAAAGCUUUUGCGGUGUGGGAUGAGCCCGCGGCCUAUCAGCUAGUUGGUGGGGUAAAGGCCUACCAAGGCGACGAUCUGUAGCUGGUCUGAGAGGACGACCAGCCACACUGGGACUGAGAUACGGCCCAGACUCCUACGGGAGGCAGCAGUGGGGAAUAUUGCACAAUGGGCGCAAGCCUGAUGCAGCGACGCCGCGUGAGGGAUGACGGCCUUCGGGUUGUAAACCUCUUUCAAUAGGGACGAAGCGCAAGUGACGGUACCUAUAGAAGAAGGACCGGCCAACUACGUGCCAGCAGCCGCGGUAAUACGUAGGGUCCGAGCGUUGUCCGGAAUUACUGGGCGUAAAGAGCUCGUAGGUGGUUUGUCGCGUUGUUCGUGAAAACUCACAGCUUAACUGUGGGCGUGCGGGCGAUACGGGCAGACUAGAGUACUGCAGGGGAGACUGGAAUUCCUGGUGUAGCGGUGGAAUGCGCAGAUAUCAGGAGGAACACCGGUGGCGAAGGCGGGUCUCUGGGCAGUAACUGACGCUGAGGAGCGAAAGCGUGGGGAGCGAACAGGAUUAGAUACCCUGGUAGUCCAA